AUCAACUUUCGAUGGUAGGAUAGAGGCCUACCAUGGUGGUGACGGGUGACGGAGAAUUAGGGUUCGAUUCCGGAGAGGGAGCCUGAGAAACGGCUACCACAUCCAAGGAUGGCAGCAGGCGCGCAAAUUACCCAAUCCCGACACGGGGAGGUAGUGACAAUAAAUAACAAUACGGGGUUCUUUAGGAUCUCGUAAUUGGAAUGAGUACAAUUUAAAUCUCUUAACGAGGAACAAUUGGAGGGCAAGUCUGGUGCCAGCAGCCGCGGUAAUUCCAGCUCCAAUAGCGUAUAUUAAAGUUGUUGCAGUUAAAAAGCUCGUAGUUGAAUUUCGGGGUUAGUAGGUUGGUCAUGCCUCUGGUAUGUACUGAUCUCACUGAUUCCUCCUUCCUUAUGAACCGUAAUGCCAUUAAUUUGGUGUUGCGGGGAAUUUGGACUGUUACUUUGAAAAAAUUAGAGUGUUUAAAGCAGGCUAACGCUUGAAUACAUUAGCAUGGAAUAAUGAAAUAGGACGUUCGAUCUUAUUUUGUUGGUUUCUAGGAUUGACGUAAUGAUUAAUAGGGAUAGCUGGGGGCAUUAGUAUUCAAUUGUCAGAGGUGAAAUUCUUGGAUUUAUUGAAGACUAACUACUGCGAAAGCAUUUGCCAAGGAUGUUUUCAUUAAUCAAGAACGAAAGUUAGGGGAUCGAAGACGAUCAGAUACCGUCGUAGUCUUAACCAUAAACUAUGCCGACUAGGGAUCGGAUGAUGUUAAUUUUUUAAUGACUCAUUCGGCGCCUUACGGGAAACCAAAGUGUUUGGGUUC
rnacentral:rRNA from 1 species